rnacentral:rRNA from 1 species
GGGACACGUGGUAUCCUGUCUGAAUAUGGGGGGACCAUCCUCCAAGGCUAAAUACUCCUGACUGACCGAUAGUGAACCAGUACCGUGAGGGAAAGGCGAAAAGAACCCCGGCGAGGGGAGUGAAAAAGAACCUGAAACCGUGUACGUACAAGCAGUGGGAGCACGCUUAGGCGUGUGACUGCGUACCUUUUGUAUAAUGGGUCAGCGACUUAUAUUCUGUAGCAAGGUUAACCGAAUAGGGGAGCCGAAGGGAAACCGAGUCUUAACUGGGCGUUAAGUUGCAGGGUAUAGACCCGAAACCCGGUGAUCUAGCCAUGGGCAGGUUGAAGGUUGGGUAACACUAACUGGAGGACCGAACCGACUAAUGUUGAAAAAUUAGCGGAUGACUUGUGGCUGGGGGUGAAAGGCCAAUCAAACCGGGAGAUAGCUGGUUCUCCCCGAAAGCUAUUUAGGUAGCGCCUCGUGAAUUCAUCUCCGGGGGUAGAGCACUGUUUCGGCAAGGGGGUCAUCCCGACUUACCAACCCGAUGCAAACUGCGAAUACCGGAGAAUGUUAUCACGGGAGACACACGGCGGGUGCUAACGUCCGUCGUGAAGAGGGAAACAACCCAGACCGCCAGCUAAGGUCCCAAAGUCAUGGUUAAGUGGGAAACGAUGUGGGAAGGCCCAGACAGCCAGGAUGUUGGCUUAGAAGCAGCCAUCAUUUAAAGAAAGCGUAAUAGCUCACUGGUCGAGUCGGCCUGCGCGGAAGAUGUAACGGGGCUAAACCAUGCACCGAAGCUGCGGCAGCGACGCUUAUGCGUUGUUGGGUAGGGGAGCGUUCUGUAAGCCUGUGAAGGUGUGCUGUGAGGCAUGCUGGAGGUAUCAGAAGUGCGAAUGCUGACAUAAGUAACGAUAAAGCGGGUGAAAAGCCCGCUCGCCGGAAGACCAAGGGUUCCUGUCCAACGUUAAUCGGGGCAGGGUGAGUCGACCCCUAAGGCGAGGCCGAAAGGCGUAGUCGAUGGGAAACAGGUUAAUAUUCCUGUACUUGGUGUUACUGCGAAGGGGGGACGGAGAAGGCUAUGUUGGCCGGGCGACGGUUGUCCCGGUUUAAGCGUGUAGGCUGGUUUUCCAGGCAAAUCCGGAAAAUCAAGGCUGAGGCGUGAUGACGAGGCACUACGGUGCUGAAGCAACAAAUGCCCUGCUUCCAGGAAAAGCCUCUAAGCAUCAGGUAACAUCAAAUCGUACCCCAAACCGACACAGGUGGUCAGGUAGAGAAUACCAAGGCGCUUGAGAGAACUCGGGUGAAGGAACUAGGCAAAAUGGUGCCGUAACUUCGGGAGAAGGCACGCUGAUAUGUAGGUGAAGUCCCUUGCGGAUGGAGCUGAAAUCAGUCGAAGAUACCAGCUGGCUGCAACUGUUUAUUAAAAACACAGCACUGUGCAAACACGAAAGUGGACGUAUACGGUGUGACGCCUGCCCGGUGCCGGAAGGUUAAUUGAUGGGGUCAGCGCAAGCGAAGCUCUUGAUCGA